rnacentral:lncRNA from 1 species
CCAGUCUUUAGAGAGAGAGAGAGAGAGAGAGAGAGAGAGAGAGAGAGAGAGAGAGAGAGAGAGAGAGAGAGAGAGAGAGAGAGAGAGAGAGAGAGAGAGAGAGAGAGAGAGAGAGAGAGAGAGAGAGAGAGAGAGAGAGAGAGAGAGAGAGAGGCUGUGUCCCAAUUCCUAGGACGCAUCCUUCGAAGGCUGCAUUCGAAGGCUGCGUCGACGCCGAUUGCGUCACCGCGACGCGCCAAGUGCUGUCCCAAUUCCAAGGGUCCUUCAAAUGCGGCCCACAAAUGCAGCCUUCUUUUCCCGGAUUUGAAGGAUGCAUCAGCUGUAUCCUUCACGGCCCAACGUAUCCAAAGAUCCUUCACGGCCCAACGUAUCCCUCCCAAGAUUCAUUGCGCACUCAAUCAAUGGAGAUGGCGGAGAAUGGCGAUUUAAGUUUUGCAUUUAAAUCAGCAUACUGCUCGAUUUAUUCUAUUGAGAGGGGAGAACGAUGAGCUGUUCACCGGAGUGAAAUACUCGGCAAGUGUGGCUUGGGGGACAAUUCUGGAGAAAAUAGGCCUGCAGGGGAAGGUGACUCCCCUGCAGGCAAAGAAAAAAUGGGACAAUUUAAAAUAAAUAAAUAAAGUAUGUACAUGUCAUUUUAAAUAUACAUUAUUUGUUUUAAUGCAAGUUAAUAAACACUUUUGCUGAAAUUUGUUUUGAUGCUGCUGUUGUUAACUGCCAUGAUUGAUUUCCUCUGCCUUAGGAUUGCAAGUAUCCAGGGUCAGGAGAGGGGGUAGGUGGGAAACCAACUGCUGCCA